AUUACCUCUUAAUUAAUCACUAAUGACAGUAAUUAAGCAUUAAGGCCAAACAAUAAUUAAAUGCCAAAGGUCAUUAGGGUUAAUGACCUCAGGUCAUCACACAAUCCCAAAGUCACUCAAACCCUAAUCAUGAGGAUUUAACUAAUCAUUGUUUAAUUAUUUUGGAAUUAUCAUUUACUUACUAAAUAAGGGUUUAAUAAUAUUUCAUUCAAACAUUAUCCAAAUGCCACU
rnacentral:lncRNA from 1 species